GUGUACUUUUGCAAGUCUUACCCGUCAAAAUAAAAGACUCUCAAUGAUAUGCCGGCUUGAGGGGGGUCAAGGUAAGGCUUAAUCAAUAAUCAAGACUCUGUUUGCAAAAUUGCUUACUAAUAGUGGAUCCUCAAAAAUCCAGUUUUAUUAGCAAGUUAAGUUAUUACCUGAAUCUAGAGUUCUUUCUACCCUAGUUCAAGCACUUGGCCUAUACUAGCCAUUUUCUUAUCAACCCUUCUUAUUUACUGGAAUGCUACGUGUAAGUCAGUGACCAAUUCUUCAUGUCCGAGAAGUAACGGCGAUUCGAAUUGAUUAAUACUUAGUUGAGGAUCUCCAAUCACACGACAUAUGUAGCACUUAACCCUUGCAUAUGUCAACUCGCCACCGGGGUUCUUAAGACCAGAUCAGGUUCAUGCCAACGGAGAGCACAGAUACACCACCGUCCAGCCUCUUGCCACGGAGGGUACACGCUACUCUCGCCAUCUCUCCACUCCCAUUGCAUGUUAUCUUAUUCUGGUAUUAGUCUACCCGAGGCAAAGCUUACCCAUGAUGAGGCAUGUGACCAGUUAAAGGGUCCUCGGUCAGCAGGCCUACAUCGACAAGGUCCUUAAUCGACUAAGACGGAGACACUACACCGAGACUCUCUUCUCGUGCAAGUCACGCGCCCGGUCUCAGCUUUAUCAUUUUAACCCAAAGUUUGGUACCUGACAGAGGUACAUCUUUUUCGAUGUUGAACCCAUCACGGCCAUGAUGGAUCCACCAUCUAGUUUUAUUUUUGAAAACAUCCCAUCCCACUGGAAGCAUCAUCUUUUGUCAAAACAAAACAUUUUGUUUUUCUAGAGCAAUACCAAGCAUAAGAAAAACCUUUUUAUAAAACAGGUGAUCAAGGAAAGGUAAUCAAUCUUCCAAGGAAGGAAAUGCAUCAAUUGUUUAGCACACAACUCCUAUCACCUAAUGCAUCAAGCAAGUGAGAAAGAUUUUAAAAUAGCAAGGAGAUGGCAAAUGCACCGGGGCUUGCCUUGUGUUAUAGGAGAGUCAGGCUCUGCUCCACAAAUAUCAAAAUAAAAGCAGUUCCCAGCAGGUGGGUCUUAAGGUGGUGGUGUAUCUCUUUCUUCUUCAACUUCUACUUCUUCUUCGUUUUCUAUGUAUAACCAUAUAUAAUCAUGAAUGCUCAUGUAAUGCUUAUGAAAAUGCAAAGAUGAAUAAAAGUACAUUAUCUUAGGUCUUGAAUACAAUUUUCCUUCACGGAACUCCAAGAAACUAGGGUUUUUGGAGUCAGAACUGGGGUUCAUAGGGCAGGCAUCACUAGGAGAUUAGGGUUUUGAGGUUUAAGUACCAAACAUUGUGAAAAUCAUGCCAAACUUUAUCCAAGGUUUCUAAGUAUCAUUUUAAGCUUAUCUAAAAAGUUUAGUGAUUUUUGGAGUUAUUAAUCAGUUUCUAAAAUUCCAUGAAUAUAAGUUUUGGCUAUUUUAAAUACCCCAUAAUUCUUUAUUUGGACUAAAAAUCAUAAAACUAAUUUUAUUAAAUACUAUAGGAAUUUAGGAAUAUAACAAAUUGGUAUGGUAUUUUUAGCAUUUUCCUACAAUAUUCUAUGAAUUCUCUUAUACCAGAAGAAAAAGAAAAAGAGUCAAUAGUAUUGGGCUGAAUCUGGCCCGAGCCAGCCCAGCCUAGGCAGAACGCGCCCGCGUGACAGUUUUGCACCGGGGUCCUAAGGGGUUUGAAUAACUAGUGAAGAACCCUGUGCACUAUUUGAUUGGGUCACUGACAAAUGCAAAUAAGCCCUCGAACUUCUAUUUCUUCAUAGCCCACGGUCCUCGACGGCGAACGGCGCCCGGCCGAUCUCCGUGAACCUGUACCAGCCAAUACACGCAAUGACCGGUGCUCUAACUCGGCUGACACUUAAUUCAGCACCUAAUAAUCGUUUCCCCUCGCUCAAUUGCACAAUCCGAGCUCUUAAUCACACUGUCCACGGUGACAGCGCGAACUAUGAAUGAACAGAGAUGUUCCCGAUGAUCUAGCGCAGUCUAGCUUAAUUGAACUGGUUGAGGAGCAUCAGGAGAGCAUAAGGGCACUGAAACGGGAGAGCAGAGAGCAUGAACAAACCUGAAACAUGCUAGGCAUGGCGAGGUCACUUCGCGCGGUGUUUCGGACUAAUUUGGGGGAAAUCCCAAAUUGGGGUUCUCUGGUGAGUAAUUGGAGGCACGAGUGGGUGGAUUGGAUACUUGAAUACCUAGCGGAGCUGAGGGUGUGCUCAAUUUAUAGGAUCCAUGAGCGGUGGUGACUAAUUCAGGGAAAGACGCGCGGCGGCCGGAGAGAAGGGGUGCUCUGGCGCAAGCAAUUGGUGGCUUUUACCGUGGCGAGCUCACCGGCGAACACCGAAUAUGCAUAAUGCAAGCUACUGCGACAUGGUGAAACACCAAAGCACGUAGCGCAAAGUCGCGAGGUGGCUAACGCCGGUGAGUUUAACCGAAGCGGCCGUGACUCAGGCGGGUAUGGCGGCCGGAGUAGAAUAGUGGCCGAAGUUCAUCCACGGUGCGAUAUUUCUUACCCUUCUGCGUUAUCCAACUGCGCUAGGCACGAAUCACCGCGGCGGGCGCGAAUCCGAGCGCACAGCUCGUCGACGGUGAAGUUUAGUGGAUUGGGAUAUUUCAGUGCACUGUACCAUUGGAUCCUUAUUCAGUCAGCCUGACAGAGUAACUUGCAGGGAGAUUUGCUCGCAAUUUCAUGUAGUGACUCGACCUGCUCUCUGUGUCAAAGUUGUAGCCCUAUGAUCCAGCUACAAAUCGACUAUAGCAACUAUCCCCAAUCGAGCAAUAGAUCCCACUCUAAUUCAACCCAAAAGUCUGGCCAAUGUCACUGGUGACCAAAAUUCAGUCAUCAGAUUGACUGACAGCCCAACUUUGAGCUUAUUUUUCUCCAAACUUUGUAUGUGAUCAAAGCUUAGUUACUUAAGCAAAGUUGUUCUCCUAUAGUAGCUCUAGACUUUUGAUGUGUUGACCCUAGGCAAAUUCUUUGUAUUUUUAGAACUACAGAGCUCCAAAGUCAGCCCUGUUCACUGGUUUUCAGACUUAGGCACAUGAGAGGAAUAGAGUGCCUUUUUGAAAUAAGCCCAAUUCUCAUCCUUUGACUUGGAAAUCCUCAAAUGUGUGAAACAUAUGAUUUGAGGUACCCUAAUACCUUUGUUUUUGCACUUGGAUCCAAAAGUGUGCCAAAUUUACAUAUAAUCCCUAGGGUUUCAACUCAGGGUUUUCUAGGGGUCUUUUUAGGGUUUUUGACACUUUUAGGGUUUGGAUGCCACACAAGUCCAUUAAUGGUGAUAUCCUAUGGCCAUUUCUAAUGAGUUUUGAAGUUUUCUCUCAUUUAGGCUUUAUUGACACUCCUAAGCCUAGUUUAGGGUUAAGUACUUUACCCUAGGAUUUCACCCAUGACUAGUCACAUCAAUACAACUUGUUUGAAAUUUU
rnacentral:lncRNA from 7 species